AAAUAAUAUUCAGGCUUUAUAAAAACCUUCUAAUAUUUUUCAGGAUUAUUCUAUCAGUAACAUAACCUGAGAUGCAACAAAGAGAAUUCAGAUGCCCUGUGGGAGCCAGAGAACAACUUUCAUUUUAAGCACCCACCAGAGACUAACAACAAUUUCUGUAUCCUGCGAGAGAAAAUGUGGUUGACUCAGUACACGCCAGCCAGGGCUUCACUACUGUCCUCCAUAUGUAGAGCUUAAGGUUAAGCUCUAUCCGAGCUACUCUAAAAGUUCUAGAACUUUAUUCGACUGGUGGACGAUGCAAACUCUCAAGAUGGCCUUUGAGGCAGAGGAUCACUAAUGUGCUGUCAGCUGACUUCCCACUCCUCCCACCAACUACCUCGGCUCAGCACUCUCCGGGC